rnacentral:rRNA from 2 species
CUCCUAGUACGAGAGGACCGGAGUGGACGCAUCACUGGUGUUCGGGUUGUCAUGCCAAUGGCACUGCCCGGUAGCUAAAUGCGGAAGAGAUAAGUGCUGAAAGCAUCUAAGCACGAAACUUGCCCCGAGAUGAGUUCUCCCUGAGACUUWRRGUCUCCUGAAGGAACGUUGAAGACGACGACGUUGAUAGGCCGGGUGUGUAAGCGCAGCGAUGCGUUGAGCUAACCGGUACUAAUGAACCGUGAGGCUUAACCUUACAACGCCGAAG